rnacentral:lncRNA from 1 species
UCUAAAACAAAAGCUAGGCAUUUUCUGCACCUUUGAGGAUUUACCUAGCCGGGUCCUCCAGAAGACAGAGCAAUCUACCUGUCAGGUGCCAGGACUUCCUCUCUGUUUCCGGAUCACACUCCGUGACCCCAUGAGCUCCUCAGGACAGGGAUGAUGUCACCAUCAUUUUUGUGUCUUCAACUCCUCCACCUCAUAGAUUCUCAGUGAAUGUUUGCUGAAUCAGUAGCGCCAGCUUCACAUGCUUUAGAGGCAGAAGAUACAAGCUGGAAUCUCAACUCCAGCACUUAAUAGCUUUGUGAUCUUAGCACCUAGCACCCUGCCUUAACACAGAGAAAAUGUCCACUAAAUAUUUAUGGAAUAAACAGGAAUGAAUGAAUUAAUGAAUGCACAAAUGGAUAAAGUACAUGAAGUAUUUCAAGAGUGAGAAAGCAGAUAUGAUCGUCAAUGAUGAAGCAUGCAGUAAAUAACCCUCCCUCCCUGGAAGUGAAGACAGCCUGUGGGGGAGAACUGGCUCCAUUAAAGGCUUCAAGCCACAGGAGUUGUUUUCUCCGGAGAUGAUGAACGUGGGCUGGAAAAAGAGACAAGAGUCACCUACUUCGUGCAGCUUUUUCCCCCCAAACUGCUAAAA